GCCCAGAGUGAGGUGGGUCCGAGCGGCCCUGUACAGGCGCCCGUCAAGCUGGACGUGGAGACAAAUG
rnacentral:SRP_RNA from 1 species